rnacentral:rRNA from 1 species
ACUCAAAUGAAUAGACGGGGACCCGCACAAGCAGCGGAGCGUGUGGUUUAAUUCGAUGCAACGCGAAGAACCUUACCAAGGCUUGACAUGCUUUUGCACCGGCGGUAACGCGCCGUCUCCUUCGGGAGCGGGAGCACAGGUGCUGCAUGGCUGUCGUCAGCUCGUGUCGUGAGAUGUUGGGUUCAGUCCCGCAACGAGCGCAACCCCUGCGGUUAGUUGAAUGGUCUAGCCGGACUGCCACGAUCAACGUGGAGGAAGGCGGGGAUGACGUCAAGUCAGCACGGCCCUUACGCCUUGGGCGACACACACGCUACAAUGGUCGGGACAAUGGGACGCCAACCCGCGAGGGGGAGCCAAUCCUCUAAACCCGGCCUCAGUUCAGAUUGGAGGCUGCAACCCGCCUCCAUGAAGGAGGAGUUGCUAGUAACCGUGAGUCAGCACAUCACGGUGAAUCCGUUCCCGGGUCUUGCACACACCGCCCGU